GUCAGGGCAAUGAGGAAGAAUCACUGAAGGAUACUGAAAAGGAGCAGUGAAUUCAGAGAACUAAGAGAGUAUGUGCCAGGAGCCAACAGGUCAUUUACUCAUUCAGCGUCACUAGUGGGACCUUCACAAGGCAAAUGCGCCAGUGAGUUGCACUCUAACAAGGAUUACCAGUUUUGGGGAGGAAGAUCACAAAGUGACAUUUUUAUCACAGUAAAUCAAUGGCACAUGCUAUCAACAUGAAUAACUAUUGAUGUUAACUUGAUCACCUGGCUGAGAAAACCUUGUUGGGAGUUUGAUUAGACGGCUGAGAAAGACAGCAAAUCUACAGGGUUUGUCAAAGAUAAGAUCGUUGUCAUGGCAUGAAAAGGAUGACCUUUCCAGUCUGCAAUACCUGCUUGACCACUAAGACCAAACAGCUCAAAUUAAAGCUUUCCUUGGCCAUGGUGACUGAGUCAAGGACAGACUCAUAAUCUAAGGCAAAGCAAUAAGUCAUCAGGAGACUCAAUACCUGCGUGUCUCUCAACCAUUGGAAAAAGUGAAUAUUCUUUGUAUCUGGAUGUGAAUGAGAAAAUACACAACCCCAGGAGCUGCUAGAACCCAUCUUGAGUUUGAAGAGUUUGCCUUAUAAUAAAACCAAUAUCAAAAAAGGAGGGUCUAAUAUGGGGAGGUACAAGCUUUUAGUGAUAUUGUUUGAGUCUUGGAUAAAGAUUCACUUGAAGCUAGAAUCUGCCCUCCGCAUUCCUUUAUAAACCUUGCGACACAUGAAACUGAGCGUGUUACCUCUCAAAAGUAUUCCCACAACAGUAGUCACAAACCUGUCAUAACAGUCAACAUACUACAUUGAAAUAAUUUGUUUAUAUGUGCAUUCCCCUAUACUGUGAGCCUUUGGGGCAUCAGACAUGUCUUGUCACCUAGGAUGGUAUCUGGCACAUAUUUAGUGCUCUAUAAAUCUUUGUAGAAUUAACAAAUGAAUGGAUGGAUAAGAGUUGCAAUAGAGGUAAAUUAUAUUUCCAAAUUUUUUUAUUUAUUCCUGACAAAUUAAUCAUAUUCCUGUAUUUUUUUCUCUAUAUUUCAAAGGUAAUUAGAUGUCAACACUUUUUACUUUCCUUUUUCUGAAGGUUUUAUAAGGAAACUAUGUGCAGGAUAUCAAUUUUUUGGAGAAUGACUCCCACAUUGGCUAUUCUAGCUUAUUCCCACAGGAAUUCCUAAAACCAAGCAAAUAAUUUCAAAUUUGUUGAGAUCGCAUAAUUUAGUUUAGAAUAAAGAGAUCUUGUCACCUUUCCUCUAAAGGAAGUGUCUGCUACAGGCAUUCCCUAUGGGUAUGUAUAAUUGGAAAAUUAAAAAGCAUAUUUAAAGGCAACAUUGUGCUAUAAAAAAUGUUGGCAAUGUUCCAAGGGGGACUGUGUAUGCUAUUAGAUAUUUUUGAGAAUUUACUCUGCCUGUGCUAAGAAUUUUCAAUAAUUCCCUUCUUGGGUAAAAUUAGGGCAUCAGCAGAGAAGUAAACUCUCUAAUAUAAGCAGCAAGUUUCCAUUUUUCACCAUAAUGUGUUCCUAAAAACUAUGUUGGGAAGUAAAAUGAUUAAAAAUAGAACUUUUUUGCUUUCAUACAAUUUUCGUUAAGUUUAAAACUGAAGUUAUUUGUUCACAUAAGCAAGUAAUAUUUAUAUACUGGUUAGGUGAGAUAUUGAUCGUGGCUUUCUUCUGGAGCCAAGAGAGAAUAAAACAACUGGACAAUGUAAGAUGGCUAUGUCUCUCAGAAAGUAAUACAGUCGAAAGCCUAGUUCAAAGUAAGAAACACAUAGUAGAUAUAACACCACUGUUCAUUCCAGAGCCUGUGGAAGGUGGGGCUAUUUGCUCAUGUCAUUCUUUCCUGAUUUAUCUAUAUUAAACCUUAGAAUCUUUCUUAAUACCAAACUUGAAAUGUCACUAGCAUUCAUUUGAAAUUGUUACUAGCAUUGACAGGUUUAAUACCGUAGACUUAAGGUGACUGGCUUACAUGCCUACAACCAGGGAAACAUUUUCACCUGGUGGCAACAUCUUGAUUUGCAGUCAUAGACCCAGGAGAAAGAAUCCAACAUUUUAAGUCUAAUUCAGCAAAACCAGGUCUACAAAUAGUGGCAAACAUAACUUAAGAAAUUAUCUUUAAAAUGAUGGCUUUUACUACACUUCG
rnacentral:lncRNA from 10 species